CUUUGCGAAAGCGAAGAUAAUACCUGAUAAGACUACAGUCUCUUAGGAGGCAGUAGGAAAAGGUGGCCUCUGUCUCAUGCUAUCGUUUAUGGAUGAGCCCUCAUACUAUUAGCUUGUUGGUGAGGUAAUGGCUCACCAAGGCUACGAUGGUUAGCUGGUCUGAGAGGAUGAUCAGCCACACUGGAACUGAGAUACGGUCCAGACUCUACGGGAGGCAGCAGUGAGGGAUAUUGCGCAAUGGGGGAAACCCUGACGCAGUGACGCCGCGUGAGUGAUGAAGGCUUUCGAGUCGUAAAGCUCUGUUAGGUGGGAAGAAAUGGUCACGUGUUAAUACCACGUGGGCUUGACGUACCACCAGAGAAGCACCGCUAACU
rnacentral:rRNA from 1 species